CCUGUUGCAGGGAAAGAGAGAGGUAGUGGGGUUUUAGCGAUCGAGAGGGAGAAGUGAAGAGGGAGAGGUAGUGGGGGUUUAGAGAGGGAGAAGUGAAGAGAGAGGUAGUGGGGGUUUAGAGAUCGAGAGAGGGAGAAGUGAAGAGCGAGAGGUAGUGGGGGUUUAGAGAUCGAGAGAGGGAGAAGUGAAGAGCGAGAGGUAGUGGGGGUUUAGAGAUCGAGAGAGGGAGAAGUGAAGAGCGAGAGGUAGUGGGGGUUUAGAGAUCGAGAGAGGGAGAAGUGAAGAGAGAGGUAGUGGGGGUUUAGAGAUCGAGAGAGGGAGAAGUGAAGAGAGAGGUAGUGGGGGUUUAGAGAUCGAGAGAGGGAGAAGUGAAGAGAGAGAUUAAAGUGGUGGCUACAGAGACAGAAAGAGAAAGAUGUAGAGACUUUUUGUGAGAGAGCGUGCAAUUUCAUUAUGUCUGCUGUAGCCCAUACCAAAUAUGGAGUGCUUGCCCCCCACUCACCUCAAAUUACCUUACCUUUUAAUGUCUGGUAUUACUACACUCCUGCAAUGCAACCCUUCCCAAUUUCAACCAUCACCACCAUUAUCCUAAUUUCUUGAGAGGGUAAAGAGGAGAGCGUUUUUCUGCCCCUGAAAUUAAGUGGGAUCUUUCACUGUGCAUAGAUGGGCCCUCCAAUUAUCAAAGAGAGAUUUGAUACUUGAGGGACUGAAGUGUUUUGGAU
ensembl:lncRNA